CAGCAGCCGCGGGAAUACGGAGGGUGCAAGCGUUAAUCGGAAUUACUGGGCGUAAAGCGUGCGUAGGCGGUGAGUUAAGUCUGCUGUGAAAUCCCCGGGCUCAACCUGGGAAUGGCAGUGGAUACUGGCAAGCUAGAGUGUGCCAGAGGAUGGUGGAAUUCCCGGUGUAGCGGUGAAAUGCGUAGAGAUCGGGAGGAACAUCAGUGGCGAAGGCGGCCAUCUGGGACAACACUGACGCUGAGGCACGAAAGCGUGGGGAGCAAACAGGAUUAGAUACCCCCGUAGUCCCUGUCUCUUAUAC
rnacentral:rRNA from 1 species